rnacentral:rRNA from 1 species
GUUAAAAAGCUCGUAGUUGGAUUUCUGUUGAAAACGGCCCGUCCGCAUUUUGUGCGUGUAUGUGGCUUGGUUUCGGCAUCCUUUCAAAGAACGCAACUGUAAUUCAGUUUAUGGGGCGGUACUUUGGAACUUUUACUUUGAGGAAAUUAGAGUGUUCACGGCAGGCAAUCGCCUUGAAUAUAUUAGCAUGGAAUAAUACUAUAGGAUCUUGGGUCUAUUUUGUUGGUUUCUAGAACUAAGAUAAUGAUUAAUAGGGACAAUUGGGGGCAUUCGUAUUAACACGUCAGAGGUGGAAUUCUUAGAUUGUGUUACGACGAACUACUGCGAAAGCAUUUGCCAAGGAUGUUUUCAUUGAUCAAGAACGAAAGUGAGGGGAUCGAAGAUGAUUAGAUACCGUCGUAGUCUUCACCAUAAACUAUGCCGACUAGAGAUUGGAAGUCGUCCUUUUAUGACUCUUCCAGCACCUUAUGAGAAAUCAAAGUCUUUGGGUUCCGGGGGGAGUAUGGUCGCAAGGCUGAAACUUAAAGGAAUUGACGGAAGGGCACCACCAGGAGUGGAGCCUGCGGCUUAAUUUGACUCAACACGGGGAAACUUACCAGGUCCAGACAUAGUUAGGAUUGACAGAUUAAGAGCUCUUUCUUGAUUCUAUGGGUGGUGGUGCAUGGCCGUUCUUAGUUGGUGGAGUGAUUUGUCUGGUUAAUUCCGUUAACG